GGUGGCUCAGUGGUAGAGCAUUUGCCUUGCAUGCAUGAGGCCCUGGGUUCCAUUCCUCAGUACCA
rnacentral:tRNA from 1 species